GUACGGGGGCGGGGGCGUGGACCUCCACAUAUACACUUGUACACGUAUACACAUAGGUGUGCAUGUCAGUAUACAUACAUGGAAAGAGUGCGUGUGGCAGUGCACAUACAUGUCUGCCUGUUUGCGCACACCUGCAUGCACACACACGCAGUAUGCACCUGCAGGCACGCUGUACCCUAUGUGCUACACGUGCACUGUGUGUAUACACCUACACAUGCAGAUGCGUGUGCAUGCAUGUACACACACACACACACACACGUGCAUGCAUGUACAUGGCUGCAUGGGCUCACACACCGAGUGCGUGAGUAGGGGUGGGAGUCAGUCAGCUCUGUGAGGCAUGUGAACACCUGCAUGCGAUUCACGAGGUUUCCGGCAGGAAGCCGUAGCAUCAGAAGCCGUUCGUAUCUGCUGUGGCAAGAGGUAGGGGUGGGCGUCAGUCUACUAUUUUUCAUAAUGAAAAACAGUGAAAUUAAUUUUUGAAAAGCAGGUGCCACAAAACUCAGGCCAGUUGCAGACGGGCGUCUGGAGCCGAAACAGGCUGAGAAACCCCCGUGCUAGGUACAGGAAGCCACGAUGAUCGCUUUCUCGACAGCAUCUUCAAUAGCAACUGGGUAUAUUUUUCAUGCCUGUUAAUGGGGACUGAUUUCAGACACGCUCCAGUGAAGACAUUAAGUAGGACUGAAAUUGUCUCCUUGUUUCAUUCAGCGUAGGCCUAAAGGCCUCAAGUUGCAGUUAGUUGGUUACUGAACAAACUGCCGGUUUUCAGGGAGUCUCCAGCGCUCGACGCUCCUCACCUCCCGCUCCAGCGCUCGGCGCUGUCUCCCCCGGGCACUGACGCUCCUGGUUAUGCCUCUGGCUUUGCUUACACAAGAAGUUGAACCAGUUUAACUCUGGUUUACUCAAUCUGGUCAAUUUAAGUAGUGCACACCAAUUCACAGGUGCUUUUCUUGGUGUAGCUUGUGUUGAUAACUUUUUAAAACCAAUUUUAUUUAAAUAGGCACAAUAUCUGGCUAGGUGAGGGUUGAAAUGUCAUUUCCCACACCCUUUGCAUAGUCAUAAUUCACUAAUUGAGAAAUUAACUUUUUUUUCUUCUUCUUUCAGCGCUACGACUUGUUGUGAAGCAUUUACAGCUGCUCCACUUAUGCAUAUUUUCCAACAGGCAGGAUCUUUUGAAAACGAUACCUAAUGUUAUAUUAUUAAAAUGGCUAUCCAUACAAGGCAGAGUGUAAAAAUGAAAAUGCUGACAGGUUCAAGCAGGACAGUUUCAGGAAAGUAUGACUUGAGAGAGGCAGCCAGACAGACAAUCCAAAUGCUUCAGUUGGCAGGAUGAAGUGAUAUGCUAAUGUAAGAGAAAAGAGCCCUUGCUUUCUGUAAGUGCCUUCGUUGCAUCCCAAGAAGGAAAGCUGCUGCAUCAUUGAACCAGUUAGUCUCCAGUGUGCCACCCUGCCCAGAUUUCUUCCAAGGAAGGAGUAGUGGAUGUGAUCUCUGCAAAAAGAAAGCUUGUCUGGUAAAGAGCAAUUUUCCUCUUUAAGUAGCUUUUGACAUUAAAGCAAAGAACUCUCAAUACCAUAUUUUAUGUACUUUUGAAAAAUGGGCUGUUUACUUCGUUCUGUCUGUGCGGGAUAUGCAGAUUGAGGACUGUACUGUGUCAUACACAAACAUCUGCGACCCUGGGUAGAGUAUGUAAUGCUGUAAACGUUACAGUCCACGUGCUUGCACAGAGCAUUGCAUAGAAACUAGAAGAGUUUGUGCCAGAGCCAGGGGCACAGGAGUGGCUUUUUAAGAACUGUCCUUAUGUCUGUUUCUUUUAGUUUGUAGAGGUUAAAACUUUCUGAAACAUUAUGCAAAGCUGAGGUAUAGCACCCCUGCUAAUACAGUAUGUAAAUAUUCUCAUUACAUUUGGGGGGCAUAUUUCACCAUUUUGACAUAUAGCAGUGCUAUAGAGGGGCAUGACAAGGAGCAAUCUAUACCUGCAGCAAUGAUGAAGCAGUUAUAUUUCAGACAUAACAUCAUUCUUUGUAAAAAUAGUCCUCACUCUCUCUAGGCUAAAACAUCACGGCCACCUGUAAGGUUUGUUAUGCUACAGUCAAAACUGCAGUUGAAAGGGAUUUCUUCUUUCCUUUUAGUUUUGUUAACUUACGGAGGAGGAAAUAAUUUCAGUUCACUUUAGGAAUCGGUCCCGUUCCUUUGCACCUGUUUUCCCUAAGUUAGUCCUUGGAACAAUACCGGCUCAAUUAUAGUGAAGUAAUAUCAUGCAUUUUGAGCUUGUGGAAUCCACAGACCGCGUAAUUCUCUGCAUUUCCUCCCCCUUCCUUGCAUCCCACUUUUUGACAGUGUCCUUCUGCUGGAGCUAUGCUGGAAAACCUUGCAACCUUGCGUGUGCGUGUGUGCGUGCAUGUGUGUGCGUGUGCACACAUGCUGCAUGCAAAAUCCUACACUUUGUUUAGUCUGCAGAACCUCUUCUGUUAGCUAACGCUCCAGGCUCCGCAAAGGUGCAGUGAGAGAGGAGCACUAGUAAGUACCUAAGGCAGAAAGCAAACAAGGGCUUUAUCACUGGUCUUUAACUCCUAUCAAAAGGGGAGGGAGGGAGAAGUCAUUUAAACAUGAGGCUUGAAUGAAAAUUAGCAUGGAUUAGUCACAGUUGUCCCAGGAGUCCUGUUAUCUCAGGUCACAGGUACUUAUGGUAGGGAGUGGGGUACUUUACCUGUAGGAUCCCCAAGUGAAAGACUCUUGAGGGAGCCAAGAGGGGGAGGAAGAGUCCUGGGUCUGUUUUUAGCCAAAGGGAAUUCCCCUUGAGGCAUGGCAGGAGUAGUGUGUGUCUCCCUGUCUUUUCCCAGUGGAUGAGCUCCUGGGCAGUUCAUGCAUGGAGGAAGGAUGACUCUCUAGCCUGUUCCCCGCAGGUAAACGGCAACAAAUUGAACUGAUUUGGAGAAACAAGUGGGUUACGUCUGAGCAGCUUCCUUGCUUGCUAGUCAGUUGGCUGAAGAGUGGUUGAUGCUGAUGUUACUUAAUACUAGAUUUACCCUUCUGUGGCCCCUGGCAGAGAGAUCGGGGCAUUCAUCCUCCACUUUGCACAGACUGGAGGGAACAACCUGGCUCCCAUCUUAGUUUUGAAGAACUUCAUUGCUGAAAAAUCAAAUGCGCACGUGUUCCCUAAGGAACGUAUCCAUUCAAAGGCAUGAAAUAUAAACGUAUAUUGUUACGUGCAAAUGCUUUGCACAAGUACAUUUGCUGGAUGCAUUUGGUAUGUUCUUCAAGCAAGUAGUGUCGUUAGCUGUUAAAUUCUUGACUCCUCUGUUAGGCUUGGGACAGAAAUUACACACAAGCUGGUCUAAGAGAUUGGAAACAGGUUCAGAUCUGGAACACAACAGAAGGAUGGGGCACAUAAGCCACUUUCAAGAUUGCCGAAACAGGUUUAAGAUAAGCCUGGAUGGAUGUAGUAUUAGACUGAACUGAUUUAGAUUAAACUGGUUUAUUGUACUUCUGACCCAGACCCUCUCCAGAUUCAUAUUAACACAUAGUCCCCCAGCAUCCCUGGACCUCUGCCAGCCUGCAAGGGAAAAGCCACCUUUGCCCACGUUUUCCUCCAUUAAAAGACAAUCCACCCUUAAAGUUUGUUGAUCCAGUUUUAAAGUUUGUUCGUGACCCUUUCAUAGGCACUUGUGACCCCCUUUUGGGACACAACCCGCGAACUGAGAACCGCUGCGGUAGAGCAGCAGGGUCGGUCGCGGAGCGCGCUGCUGCGGAGCGGAGGGGCAGUGCCGCUCAACCCUGUGAGACGGGUCCCACGUACCAGAUCAGACCUCUUUGUGGGCCAGAUUAAGCCUGUGGGCUGGAGAUUGCCACCCCCUCUUAUAGCUCCUUUUCAGCUGGGGCUUUGUAGAUGCUCCUGUUACCUUGUUUCUACAUCGAAAGACUCGUGCUACACGGCAGGGUAGGCUUUCACCUCGUAGACUAAGUCAAUCAGAGGUGCGUAAGCUUUUGUAAGCGAGCUCGCUUCAUACCCCUUUCUUUUUCCUCCCUUCCCUACCCUUUGUUUUCCAGUAACUGCUCUCUGUUUAGAACCGCUGCUUCCUGAAACGUCUUGUUUGACAACAGAGCCGUCCAGUUUCUGAGUGGCUGGGGCUGCAGCCCCCCUAUCCGCAUGCUGUAGGGGCUGCAUGCCCACCAGAGCCGCCUCCUGCACGAGCUGAAAGGGGUCUGCAGGACCUCCCCAGCCACAGACUCCCUUGCACCAGGACUGUGCCGCCCUGCCUUGGCCCUAGUGCACAAGGGGUGGCGGGGGGAAGUGGGCACGCAGGAAGCAGAUGCUGGGCUAGGGAAGGGGAUUUUGGUGGCAGCAGCAGCAGCGAAGCGAUGGGGCAAGCAGACUCGGGACUGGGAGUUUGGGAGCUGCACGCAGCCCACAGGCCGCCAGUCGGAUGCCCGUAACUGGUUGGCUUUCUGUGGUUUACUCUCCUUAUGUGCUGUCCCUAUAUUCAUUUUAGUUCUCGUUGAGUUUUCCUUUUCUUACUCCUUCUUCGAAACAUCUCCUAGGUUGAUCCUGACGGUAAAACAAGCGUACCCGUUAAGAUGACUGCGGGGAAAGUAUCCUGUUUUCAUCUACGCAGCCUGCAAUUAAACUGCAAAACCGGGCCGACGUGUGGAGUGGAUGGAGCAAGCUCCGAGUUCCGCUCCCGGCACCGGAAAAUGCGUUCAAUGCGUCAGUCCUCGCAUCGAGAACACAUUACUGCUGGGAGUUUUUGCCACGUAGGAACGCGGUUCAUCUGCGACCAUGUGGAUUCCUGGAACGUCCCCAAAAGCACUCGCGGUUCUUCUGUGGGAAUUCUUCGCUAGGCGACUCGACACCAAAGGGAAGGCGACUGAAGUGGCACGCAGCUCGGCUGAUUCCUUGCCUGGUUUGACUUGCCUGUAGCCGUCCUCUUCAUCAAGAACGGUGAACAGCUUUUUACCUGACAAGCUCUUUUGCACAUCCUCUACAGCGGGAAUAGAACAGUGCUGCCUCGAUACUGCCUCGUUGAGGUCUCGCGGGUAUAAACCAAGCGGUAGCGAACCAUCCUUCUUUUGUGCCAUCACGAGGCUAUUGACCCAGGGUGCGUGGGCUUAGUCAACUUCGUAAGGACUCUCACAGCUUCCAGCGUUUCGAGGGCAGUCUUCUACGUGCCUAGGGUUGCACAGGGAAUUUUUCUACACCCGUACACCGCUGGUGGUACUGCCGGGUCGACACAGAUGUGGUAGGUACCGGGAAAUAGGCCCACCCCUUCGAAAACGUCCGGACAUAGUUUGAGAAGGUCCGCCUUGGUUGCGGGUAUUGUCGGGGCCAUUCCGUGGACUCGUCUGAUGAGGUCCGACGUGGUGCAAGCCACCCUACUAGGUCUUGGUGGGUCACUAUUGUCAGUUAGGUAGAAAGGUACAUCAGAUUCAUUAGCACCAGAUUUGCAGCCUGCAAUGCCUGCACCUUUUGGUUUCAUGGGUGCACCGCCAAAUGCGACUAAUGUAACAUGAGUUUGAGCCUUGCAUAGUUUUCCCUGCAAAGCUUUUGCUACAGCUACUGGAAUAGCGUUUGCCUCUGCUCCAGUAUCUAACUUCAAACAAGCUGGCAAGCCAGCGGUCAUCACUGGGCUAUACCAGGGGUGUAGGUUGUAGCCGUGUUGGUCUAAGGACCCAGGCAGACAAGGUUCCUUGGGUGAAUUUGAUAUCUUGUAUUAGACCAACCCAAAUAGUUGGAGAAUAGUUAUUAAGCAAGCUUUCGGGUUCAAAAACCCUUCAUCAGGCUAAGGAGGUUUCAGCACUUGGUGUGCGCUCUUCCUGGAUGGGAUGAAAAGUCAAGAAGCCAGGGGCUGGGCUGGGCUGGGGAAUCAGUGGCCAGGCAGACUGUAACGUAUCAAAACUCCUGUGCUAUACCUGCGCUAUCCCAGGCACUCUGCUUAUCAACGGUGGGUGAGUGCUGCUUGGCAGACACUGCGCCCAUAUAGAGGGUACUGACUCCUUUUGCAGAUUUUGGAGCCCCUCCCUUUGAUUUGCACAUUUCUGCAAAGUGGUUCGCUCCAGAGCAUUUGUAACAGGUUUCUCCAAAAGCUGGGCAGGAUCUAGGCUUGCGUGUGCUUCCGCAUCGUUUGCAAACUUUGCCCUUUGCAGCUUGAUGGCCCUCCUGUGGAGCAAACUGCACCGGUGGUUUGCUUUGCUUUUGCAAAGUGCUAUGGCAGCUUUGCUUCUGCUCAACUGUAUGCAAGCUUGCUUCUGUAGAGAGCCUUUGGUCUGCCUACUCCGACAGGUCACUUCUGACACCAUACAGUGUUGGCCUUGGCCACGGGGUCCCUGGGACGGGGUACUCACUCGGACCUCCACGCCCCUGGGCUUCUGUCCUCGAGUCAGCGUUCAGCAGAGCGACUGGUGGGACGGCAAACAGCUUCAUCUUUAUUAGCAACAGGAUUCAGCAACACACGCUCACAGCUUGCGGGGGGAGAACAACAACAACCACCACCCGCACACCGCACCCACCGGGCAUCGGGGGAAGGACCGGAGUGUGCCACCGCAGGCCCCUUCCAGGCACAACAGGGAUGUCCACUGACACACAAUUAAGCGUGUGCACAGAAACAGUGAAGCGCAAUCACGUGCAAGCCUGUUCUAGUUGUUAGCUGUGAGCUAGCUGAGAACAACUAAGACGAAGCAAAGGAGAGGCGCCGCAGCCGAAACCGGAAAGGAAGGUUUUGCUCUCUUUCGGUCGUCUGCAGCUCCUUCACAGGCAACAAUUAAGGGUGUUCCUGUUCCACUACCGGUGGGUGGGUUCGCGCUCAGUGAUUAACGGGUGUUCAAUCACAACUGAAGCACAAUCACACUCUCACAGGCAACAAUUAAGGGUGUUCCUGUUCCACUACCAGUGGGUGGGUUUGCGCUCAGUGAUUAACGGGUGUUCAAUCACAACUGCAGACACUCACACUCUCACAGGCAACAAUUAAGGGUGUUCCCGUUCAAAUACCGGUGGGUGGGCUCACACUCAGUGAUUAACGGGUGUUCAAGCACAACUGCAAACAUUCACACUCUCACAGGCAACAAUUAAGGGUGUUCCCAUUAUACUGGUGGGUGGGCUCACACUCAGUGAUUAACGGGUGUUCAAGCACAACUGAAGCACAAUCACAGUCUCACAGGCAACAAUUAAGGGUGUUCCCGUUCAAAUACCGGUGCGUGGGCUCACACUCAGUGAUCAACGGGUGUUCAAGCACAACUGAAGCACAAUCACAGUCUCACAGGCAACAAGGGUGUUCCCGUUCAAAUACUGGUGCGUGGGCUCACACUCAGUGAUCAACGGGUGUUCAAGCACAACUGAAGCACAAUCACACUCACAGGCAACAAUUAAGGGUGUUCCUGUUCAAAUACAACCGGUUGGGCUCACACUCAGUGAUUAACUGUGUUCAAGCACAACUGAAGCACAUUCCCGCUCUGCCACUAAGCACGGUGGCACCGACCAGUGAAGCGCAUUGCCCCUCGGGGAUUAGAGCCCGUUCCCCCUCAGGGAUCAGCAGCUGCCCUUUUGAUCCCUGCCCCUUUGACAAGGGCUCCCAGUGUACCCGUCUCUGCUCAGGGGCUUGCUGCUGCUGCUGCUGCUGCUGCUGUUGCUGUGCUGCUGCUGGCGGGGAGAUCAGGGCUGGAGGAACGCCCCGCGAGACGCUGUCGUCAUCGCGCUCACUCCGGCUUUGAGCAAAUCAUCUCUCCUCUCAUGGCCAGCGAGGAGGAGGCGAGAGGCAGGGCAGUGUUGAGAGGGCAUGAAUGGGGGGGCCUUUGGGCUAC